AAUAACUUAACAAACGACAAUCAAUAUGUUUUAUAUGAAAUUGGAAAUGCCGAACUUUGGUACAAAUCUCAAAUAGAAGUUUUCGAGAAGAUGACACUGGAAGGCAAAAUAAUGUGGAAUGAUUUGACUAAACGCGAAAUCGCAAGUGUGAGUAGUUUAGAUCCUUUAUGGAAAAACCAAGAUAUGAGUGUAAGUUACCUUACCAAUGAUGUCGUGAAGAGAGAAGAUUUCGACUUGCCCUCAGGUGGCUUGUGUUUAGUCCUACCAUUAAACUAUGCGCGGGAAAAUUUACUUCCAAAAGAUAUAAAUAUUAAUAAUAAUGGUGAAUUCAUAAUAGUGCCAAUCAGUGAUGUUAUUGUUGUCAAAUCAAAACAAGAAGGUUUGAAAGACUUAAAUCUCACAGAAAUUAAAAGAAAACAGGUAACACACCAUCCAUGAGCCUAUCGUAAUCCUUUCCUGCUCAAUAGUGACUUUUGUAAUUCUUGUAUUUCUUAUUCUUUUGUAUUGCAUCGCAAUUCA